AACGAACGCUGGCGGCAGGCUUAACACAUGCAAGUCGAGCGCCCCGCAAGGGGAGCGGCAGACGGGUGAGUAACACGUGGGAACAUACCCAUCUCUGCGGAACAACUCCGGGAAACUGGAGCUAAUACCGCAUACGCCCUUCGGGGGAAAGAUUUAUCGGAGAUGGAUUGGCCCGCGUUGGAUUAGCUAGUUGGUGGGGUAAAGGCCUACCAAGGUGACGAUCCAUAGCUGGUCUGAGAGGAUGAUCAGCCACAUUGGGACUGAGACACGGCCCAAACUCCUACGGGAGGCAGCAGUGGGGAAUAUUGGACAAUGGGCGCAAGCCUGAUCCAGCCAUGCCGCGUGAGUGAUGAAGGCCUUAGGGUUGUAAAGCUCUUUCACCGAUGAAGAUAAUGACGGUAGUCGGAGAAGAAGCCCCGGCUAACUUCGUGCCAGCCGCCGCGGUAA
rnacentral:rRNA from 1 species